AGUGAACGCUGGCGGUAGGCCUAACACAUGCAAGUCGAACGGCAGCACAGUAAGAGCUUGCUCUUACGGGUGGCGAGUGGCGGACGGGUGAGGAAUACAUCGGAAUCUACUUUUUCGUGGGGGAUAACGUAGGGAAACUUACGCUAAUACCGCAUACGACCUACGGGUGAAAGCAGGGGAUCUUCGGACCUUGCGCGAUUGAAUGAGCCGAUGUCGGAUUAGCUAGUUGGCGGGGUAAAGGCCCACCAAGGCGACGAUCCGUAGCUGGUCUGAGAGGAUGAUCAGCCACACUGGAACUGAGACACGGUCCAGACUCCUAAGGGAGGCAGCAGUGGGGAAUAUUGGACAAUGGGGGCAAGCCUGGUCCAGCCAUACCACGUGGGUGAAGAAGGCCUUCGGGUUGUAAAGCCCUUUUGUUGGGAAAAAAAAGCAGCAGGUUAAUACCCCGCUGUUCCGACGGUACCCAAAGAAUAAGCACCGGCUAACUUCGUG
rnacentral:rRNA from 1 species